rnacentral:rRNA from 1 species
ACCUGCCCAGUGAAAUAAUUUUUAAACGGCCGCGGUAUCCCAACCGUGCAAAGGUAGCGCAAUCACUUGUCUCCUAAAUAGAGACUAGUAUGAACGGUUUAAUGAGGACUAAUCUGUCUCCUGCAGAAAAUCCGUAAAACUGAACUUCCAGUUCAAAUGCUGGACUAAUCCUAUAAGACGAGAAGACCCUGUGGAGCUUUUAAACAAAAAACACCAUAACCACUGUAAAAAGUUUUUAGUUGGGGCGACUCUGGAGACAAAAACAACCCCCAGGCACAGAACCAUUAUAUUCUUACAUGGCCAACAAGCCAAAACAUCUUAGACCCGGUCCUACCGACAAACGAACCAAGUUACCCCAGGGAUAACAGCGCUAUCUUCUUUUAGAGUCCCUAUCAACAAGAAGGUUUACGACCUCGAUGUUGGAUCAGGACACCCAAAUGGUGCAGCCGCUAUUAACGGUUCGUUUGUUCAACGAUUAACAGUCCUACGUGAUCUGAGU